rnacentral:rRNA from 1 species
UACAGAGGUCUCGAGCGUUUGUUCGGAUUCAUUGGGCGUAAAGGGCGCGUAGGCGGCGGGGUAAGUCUGGUGUGAAAUCUAGGAGCUCAACUCCUAAACUGCACUGGAUACUGCUCUGCUAGAGGACUGGAGAGGAGACUGGAAUUCACGGUGUAGCAGUGAAAUGCGUAGAUAUCGUGAGGAAGACCAGUGGCGAAGGCGGGUCUCUGGGCCGAUACUGACGCUGAGGAGCGAAAGCGUGGGGAGCGAACAGG